UUUUUCUACCAACUUGCCCAACACCUGCACCAAGACAUACAACAAAGAAAUGAUUAAAUGAAAUGAUCAAGUGAUGAAGUGAUGGAAGGAUCAAGUGAUGAAAUGAUGAAAUGAUCAAGUGUAACUGUACCUGGAUUUUGAACAAUUUCAUCUCCUUCCAUUCCCUGUCCGGCAUCUCCUUCCAUAUCAUCUCCUACAUGUCCUUCCAUUUCAUUUUCUGCAUCUUCAUCCAUUUCAUCCACAUCUUCUGCAGGUGGAGUGAAGUUGAGGUCUGGGAGAUCCAUUUUCUCCUGAAGAUAUGAAUAUGUAAGAUGAAGUAGAAGUAGAAGUAGAAGUAGAAGUAGAAGUACAAGAAGAAGAAGAAGAAGAAGA
rnacentral:lncRNA from 1 species